rnacentral:lncRNA from 12 species
UAAUGGUCAAGAGCUUCCUAGAAGUGUGAGAUGGCUUGUCACUGCACUUAUAUGGGAAUACCUAACGGAAACUGUUUAUAAGGUAAUGAAAAUAAU